rnacentral:lncRNA from 1 species
AGGGAGAGGAGGUGAUCUUCUCCACACACACCACUUAUACACUACAUAUACCACAUCCCACACACACACACACACCAUACACACACACACACACCACACACACACACCACACACACACAACACACACACCACACACACACUACACACACAUACACCACACACAGACACAGACACACACACACACCACACACACACACACACACACACCAUACCACACAUGCACCAUACACACACUACACACACAUACACCACACACACACACACCACACACACACACACCAUAGCACACAUACACCAUACACACACUACACACACAUACACCACACACAGACACACACACACACACGCACACACACACACCAUACCAUACAGUACACACACAUACACCACACACACACACACACCAGUUAGACACUGCGUACACUACACACACACACACGCACACACACACACACACACCACACCACACCACACAUGCACCAUACACACACCACACACACAUACACGACACACAGACACACACACACACACACACACACCAUAUACACACACCAUACCACACAGUACACACACAUACACCACACACCCCAUACUAUACCACACCACAUACACACUACACACACCACACAUGCACCGCACAUACACUACACAUACAUACACCACACACACACCAUACACACAGUACACACACAUACACCACACACACCAUACUACAUCAUACCACAUACACACUAUACCAUACACACUGUACCACACGCACUAUACCCACAUACACCACACCAGGCACCACACACUAUACAUACCACAUACACACUACAUCACACACACUAUACCCACAUACACCACACCAGGCACCACACACUAUACAUACCACAUACACACUACAUCACACACACUAUACCACACACACUACACAUACAAUAAACACACUACACACACACACCACACCAUACCACACAUACACACUAUGUACCACACCCCCCCCCCACACACACACACACACACUUCCUUUCCAAGAGGCAAAAGACCCUGUAAUAGGGCCUCCCUAGAGGUGGGAGAGAAAUCGUAACUUUGAGUGAAAUUGAAAGUUUUGAUUACUGCAUAGAACUGAACAAAAUUUCAUAGAAAUAUGACAUCCAUAUACAAAAGGCUCCUAUCAGAAACCUACAGCUCAAUGAGUUUUCACAGAACACACCUGUGUAACAAUCCCCAAGAUUGAGACACAAAAGCACCCAGUGGCUCCCUUCCGG